UACAGAGGGGGCAAGCGUUGUUCGGAAUUACUGGGCGUAAAGGGCGCGUAGGCGGCCCGCUAAGUCGAACGUGAAAUCCCCAGGCUCAACCUGGGAACUGCGUCCGAUACUGGCAGGCUUGAAUCCGGGAGAGGGAUGUGGAAUUCCAGGUGUAGCGGUGAAAUGCGUAGAUAUCUGGAGGAACGCCGGUGGCGAAGGCGGCAUCCUGGACCGGUAUUGACGCUGAGGCGCGAAAGCUAGGGGAGCAAACGGG
rnacentral:rRNA from 1 species